rnacentral:rRNA from 1 species
UACGGAGGAUGCGAGCGUUAUCCGGAUUUAUUGGGUUUAAAGGGUCCGUAGGCGGCUUUUUAAGUCAGCGGUGAAAUUUUGCAGCUUAACUGUAACAGUGCCGUUGAUACUGGGGAGCUAGGAUUUGGUUGCUGUGGGUGGAAUGUGUGGUGUAGCGGUGAAAUGCUUAGAGAUCACACAGAAUAUCGAUUGCGAAGGCAGCUCACAAAGCCAAGAUUGACGCUGAGGCACGAAAGUGUGGGGAUCAAACAGGAUUAGAUA